rnacentral:rRNA from 1 species
GACGAACGCUGGCGGCGUGCUUAACACAUGCAAGUCGAACGGAAAGGCCCUGCUUUUGUGGGGUUCUCGAGUGGCGAACGGGUGAGUAACACGUGAGUAACCUGCCCUUGACUUUGGGAUAACUUCAGGAAACUGGGGCUAAUACCGGAUAGGAGCUCCUGCUGCAUGGUGGGGGUUGGAAAGUUUCGGCGUUUGGGGAUGGACUCGCGGCUUAUCAGCUUGUUUGUGGGGUAGUGGCUUACCAAGGCUUUGACGGGUAGCCGGCCUGAGAGGGUGACCGGACAACUUGGGACUGAGAUACGACCCAGACUCCUCCGGGAGGCAGCAGUGGGGAAUAUUGCACAAUGGGCGGAAGCCUGAUGAAGCAACGCCGCGUGCGGGAUGAAGGCAUUCGGGUUGUAAACAGCUUUAGACUGUGACGAAGCGUGAGUGACGGUAAUGGGUAAAGAAGCACCGGCUAAAUACGUG